GAUUUAGAAGUUCCUGACAUUCUGACUGCUAUCAGAAAUUUGAGGACACGGAUGUCCGAAAAAGGGGCUGCUGAGCCAGGAUGGCGAAUCUGCCCCGGUUUCGUCCGUCCCCGGUAUCCCUUAUAGAAUGUCUGGUACUUCUUAAUUC
rnacentral:ncRNA from 1 species